UACGGGGGGUGCAAACGUUGCUCGGAAUUAUUGGGCGUAAAGCGCACGUAGGCGGUCCUGUAAGUCGGGUGUGAAAGCCCCAGGCUUAACCUGGGAAGUGCACUCGAAACUGUAGGGCUUGAGUAUGGAAGAGGGUCUCGGAAUUCCCGGUGUAGAGGUGAAAUUCGUAGAUAUCGGGAGGAACACCAGUGGCGAAGGCGGAGACCUGGGCCGAUACUGACGCUGAGGUGCGAAAGCGUGGGGAGCAAACAGG
rnacentral:rRNA from 1 species